rnacentral:sRNA from 1 species
UGAUCCUAAAUCCGGACAACGCUUGCCACCUACGUAUUAGUUUUCUCCACGUAUGUGGAGG